rnacentral:lncRNA from 1 species
UACUAGAGAAAUGUGUUUAUCACCAGCUCUUGGUUUUUAUGGAUGUUUCUGUUUCUCGACUGCGAGGAAUGCAAACGAGUUCUACGUCUCUAGGGGUCUCCUCCUUCACCAGCAAUUCACCCAACAGGUGAGGUGCUGGUUAAUCUUAUCCCAUCCUCAGGUUAGAAAUGAUAUGAAAUUUUGUCUUACGGUCCUUAAUUAAAUGUAAAUUACUAAUGUUACAGUGGGCUUUCUAACACCUGGUGUUUCAUACUUUAUUUGUUAUAAUUCUGAUAAUCAUGGUUUACAAAUGAUGAAAACCACAAAUUCAGCAUCUCUGACAUUUAGACUAUCACAUGAAAUCAAUCAAACAAGGAUUUUAAAGGAGCAUGGGGCAGGAAUUGUCCAAAAACAAGAAGUAAAUAGGAUACAUGUUCAUUCUUGUGAAGCUUAUGGGUGAUGAAGCAUUUUAAACUAAAAAGAAUGAUGAAACCAGUUUAUCAUUCCAUUUUGUUAAUCAGGCUGUGUGCUGCGAAAUGCAAAACAUUCCUGAUCCGAAUUUCCCGCGCUGUUUUACGGAUGUGACGUUAAUUGAUGCUUCAAGCACGUUCUCGACAAGGUUCAAACCCGGAAAAACAUUUGGAAGCUUGCUAGGUGGCGGUAAUGCGUCUUUCAUUACUAGCCACGUUAAAACCUCAAACAGAAGAAGAAGAACCCUGGAAAUGGAUUCUACAACUAGCAAAUGACCAAGCAACUCAAAGCCUACUAAAGUGGCACAAAGAAGAAGGUUGUAUCAGCGGCAUCUCGAGUCAAAAAGAAAAUAUAAAAGUCGUUCAGGGACCCGAAUAUGUAUUGGGUACGCUCUGGAAGAAUGAGGCUGGUUCAACUCAAUUUGGGCCUGAAAAGGAUGCGGACAUGGUGCAUUUUCUAGUGACCAGGUGCGCGCGAGCGGAGCGAAUGAUUAACUGACACAAGCACGGAGAAGCGACCAGAAGAAGCUCACAUCGGAUAAAGAAAAGUGGACAUGGACUGAAAUUGCUUGUGAAUAUUAAGUGGAGAGGCGCACACGGUGUGUUUGUAUAUUUAUCUGUAUUGCAUUAAUAUCUGAGUUAUAAGUUUAUGUUUCUAAAAUUAAUAUUUGUGUUUAUUGUUGUUCAUUUCACCGUAGUUUUUCACGGUGUUUGCUGGUAACAAGAAGAUAAAGAACCAGUUGAACAUCAGUUGGAGCAUGGCGUUUUAUUCCACAAAAAACAAAAUAUCCUUCAUGAGCAGUUACA